AUGGCAGUUUCGAGAGCGCUCGUCCUCGGCGUCCUGCUGGCGAUCGCCGUCGCCAAUGCCGAGGCAGCGUCCGUCGUGGUCGGCCAGGUCAAGUGCGCCGACUGCACCAGGAAGAACUUGAAGGCCGAGGAAGCCUUCAAGGAUCUUCAGGUGGCGAUCAAGUGCAAGAACGUCCACCGCGACUACGAGAGCAAGGCAGUGGGUGCCCUGGACCGCACCGGCGCCUUCAGCGUGCCCCUGGCCGCCGACCUCCAUGGCGCCGACUGCGUCGCGCAGCUCCACAGCGCUGCCUCCAACGCGCCGUGCUCCGGCCAGGAGCCAUCCAAGAUCGUGCCGGUGUCCGAGGGCACCACCUUCGGCGUCAUGGCCGGCGCCAACACUGCCACGCUGUCCGCGGCGUCGCCUGAGUGCGCGUCCAUGACCCUGUGCGGGCUGAUCAAGAAGCACAUCAUCGAGCACUUCCACCACAAGAAGCCCGUGCUGCCCAAGCCGGAGCCCAAGCCCCAGCCCCACCCGGACUACGGCCCCGUGCCCAAACCCGAGCCCAAGCCGCAGCCCCAGCCGGACUACCACCCCGUCCCUCCCACGCCCACCUAUGGCGGCGGCGGCGGCGGUGGAUACCACGGCCACCACUGA
rnacentral:rRNA from 1 species